UACGUAGGAGACGAGCGUUGUCCGGAGUUACUGGGCGUAAAGGGUGCGCAGGCGGCCUGGCGCGUCGCGAGUGAAAUCUCCUGGCUCAACUGGGAGGGUGGUCGCGAGACGGCUGGGCUUGAGGCUCGGUGAGGGGCGUGGAAUUCCGGGUGGAGCGGUGAAAUGCGUAGAGAUCCGGAGGAACACCGACGGCGUAGGCGGCGCCCUAGACGAGACCUGACGCUCAGGCACGAAAGCGCGGGGAGCGAACAGG
rnacentral:rRNA from 1 species